GGGGAUUUGGCUCAGUGGUAGAGCACUUGCCUAGCAAGUGCAAGGGCCUGGGUUCAGUCCCCA
rnacentral:tRNA from 1 species